UAAGUUAUUAAGGGCGCACGGUGGAUGCCUUGGCACUAGAAGCCAAUGAAGGACGUUACUAACGACGAUAUGCUUUGGGGAGCUGUAAGUAAGCUUUGAUCCAGAGAUUUCCGAAUGGGGAAACCCAGCAUGAGUUAUGUCAUGUUAUCGAUAUGUGAAUACAUAGCAUAUCAGAAGGCACACCCGGAGAACUGAAACAUCUUAGUACCCGGAGGAAGAGAAAGAAAAUUCGAUUCCCUUAGUAGCGGCGAGCGAAACGGGAAGAGCCCAAACCAACAAGCUUGCUUGUUGGGGUUGUAGGACACUCUAUACGGAGUUACAAAGGACGACAUUAGACGAAUCAUCUGGAAAGAUGAAUCAAAGAAGGUAAUAAUCCUGUAGUCGAAAAUGUUGUCUCUCUUGAGUGGAUCCUGAGUACGACGGAGCACGUGAAAUUCCGUCGGAAUCUGGGAGGACCAUCUCCUAAGGCUAAAUACUCUCUAGUGACCGAUAGUGAACCAGUACCGUGAGGGAAAGGUGAAAAGCACCCCGGAAGGGGAGUGAAAUAGAACCUGAAACCGUGUGCUUACAAGUAGUCAGAGCCCGUUAAUGGGUGAUGGCGUGCCUUUUGUAGAAUGAACCGGCGAGUUACGAUUUGAUGCAAGGUUAAGCAGUAAAUGUGGAGCCGUAGCGAAAGCGAGUCUGAAUAGGGCGUUUAGUAUUUGGUCGUAGACCCGAAACCAGGUGAUCUACCCUUGGUCAGGUUGAAGUUCAGGUAACACUGAAUGGAGGACCGAACCGACUUACGUUGAAAAGUGAGCGGAUGAACUGAGGGUAGCGGAGAAAUUCCAAUCGAACCUGGAGAUAGCUGGUUCUCUCCGAAAUAGCUUUAGGGCUAGCCUCAAGUGAUGAUUAUUGGAGGUAGAGCACUGUUUGGACGAGGGGCCCCUCUCGGGUUACCGAAUUCAGACAAACUCCGAAUGCCAAUUAAUUUAACUUGGGAGUCAGAACAUGGGUGAUAAGGUCCGUGUUCGAAAGGGAAACAGCCCAGACCACCAGCUAAGGUCCCAAAAUAUAUGUUAAGUGGAAAAGGAUGUGGCGUUGCCCAGACAACUAGGAUGUUGGCUUAGAAGCAGCCAUCAUUUAAAGAGUGCGUAAUAGCUCACUAGUCGAGUGACACUGCGCCGAAAAUGUACCGGGGCUAAACAUAUUACCGAAGCUGUGGAUUGUCCUUUGGACAAUGGUAGGAGAGCGUUCUAAGGGCGUUGAAGCAUGAUCGUAAGGACAUGUGGAGCGCUUAGAAGUGAGAAUGCCGGUGUGAGUAGCGAAAGACGGGUGAGAAUCCCGUCCACCGAUUGACUAAGGUUUCCAGAGGAAGGCUCGUCCGCUCUGGGUUGGUCGGGUCCUAAGCUGAGGCCGACAGGCGUAGGCGAUGGAUAACAGGUUGAUAUUCCUGUACCACCUAUAAUCGUUUUAAUCGAUGGGGGGACGCAGUAGGAUAGGCGAAGCGUGCGAUUGGAUUGCACGUCUAAGCAGUAAGGCUGAGUAUUAGGCAAAUCCGGUACUCGUUAAGGCUGAGCUGUGAUGGGGAGAAGACAUUGUGUCUUCGAGUCGUUGAUUUCACACUGCCGAGAAAAGCCUCUAGAUAGAAAAUAGGUGCCCGUACCGCAAACCGACACAGGUAGUCAAGAUGAGAAUUCUAAGGUGAGCGAGCGAACUCUCGUUAAGGAACUCGGCAAAAUGACCCCGUAACUUCGGGAGAAGGGGUGCUCUUUAGGGUUAACGCCCAGAAGAGCCGCAGUGAAUAGGCCCAAGCGACUGUUUAUCAAAAACACAGGUCUCUGCUAAACCGUAAGGUGAUGUAUAGGGGCUGACGCCUGCCCGGUGCUGGAAGGUUAAGAGGAGUGGUUAGCUUCUGCGAAGCUACGAAUCGAAGCCCCAGUAAACGGCGGCCGUAACUAUAACGGUCCUAAGGUAGCGAAAUUCCUUGUCGGGUAAGUUCCGACCCGCACGAAAGGCGUAACGAUUUGGGCACUGUCUCAACGAGAGACUCGGUGAAAUCAUAGUACCUGUGAAGAUGCAGGUUACCCGCGACAGGACGGAAAGACCCCGUGGAGCUUUACUGUAGCCUGAUAUUGAAAUUCGGCACAGCUUGUACAGGAUAGGUAGGAGCCUUUGAAACGUGAGCGCUAGCUUACGUGGAGGCGCUGGUGUGAUACUACCCUAGCUGUGUUGGCUUUCUAACCCGCACCACUUAUCGUGGUGGGAGACAGUGUCAGGCGGGCAGUUUGACUGGGGCGGUCGCCUCCUAAAAGGUAACGGAGGCGCUCAAAGGUUCCCUCAGAAUGGUUGGAAAUCAUUCAUAGAGUGUAAAGGCAUAAGGGAGCUUGACUGCGAGACCUACAAGUCGAGCAGGGUCGAAAGACGGACUUAGUGAUCCGGUGGUUCCGCAUGGAAGGGCCAUCGCUCAACGGAUAAAAGCUACCCCGGGGAUAACGGGCUUAUCUCCCCCAAGAGUUCACAUCGACGGGGAGGUUUGGCACCUCGAUGUCGGCUCAUCGCAUCCUGGGGCUGUAGUCGGUCCCAAGGGUUGGGCUGUUCGCCCAUUAAAGCGGUACGCGAGCUGGGUUCAGAACGUCGUGAGACAGUUCGGUCCCUAUCCGUCGUGGGCGUAGGAAAUUUGAGAGGAGCUGUCCUUAGUACGAGAGGACCGGGAUGGACAUACCUCUGGUGUACCAGUUGUCGUGCCAACGGCAUAGCUGGGUAGCUAUGUGUGGACGGGAUAAGUGCUGAAAGCAUCUAAGCAUGAAGCCCCCCUCAAGAUGAGAUUUCCCAACUUCGGUUAUAAGAUCCCUCAAAGAUGAUGAGGUUAAUAGGUUCGAGGUGGAAGCAUGGUGACAUGUGGAGCUGACGAAUACUAAUCGAUCGAAGACUUAAUCA
rnacentral:rRNA from 1 species